GGGGGCUGCACCGAGAAGCCCAGACACCCACAGAGGGUCUGCCUGGAGGCUUCAGCUAAGCACAGAUCAGUGCAGGAGCGUGAAGAAAACACUCAAGGCCAGGGAAAGACCCACCCAGGAUCAGAGCCCAUGCAGGGCUGGGAAUAGUGCCUGUGCUCAGCAGCCAGAGUGGGGAAGCAUCGUUAGAGCAGGAAGAAGUUCUCACCCCGUAGUAGGGAAGCAUCAACACGAGACUAAAUACAGUUCAGGUCCCACCAAACACCACUGAAUAAGAAGACCCAGAGCCAGAUGUGGGGGCUCACACCUGUAAUCCCAGAACUUUGGGAAGCCAAGGCAGGCAGACCAGUUGAGCCCAGGAGGUCGAGACUAGCCUGAGCAACACGGUGAAACCCCAUCUCUACAAAAAUCCAAAAAGUCGCCAAUGUGGUGAUGCGUGCCUGUGGCCCCAGCUAUUGGGGAGGCUGAGGUGGGAGAAUCACUUGAGCCCAGGGGGCCGAGACUGCAGAGAGCCAAGAUCACACCACUACACUCCAGCCCGUGCGACACAGUGAGACCCUGCCUGAAAAAAAAGGACCACACAGUUUCCAAGUAACUUGAUCACAUUCGAGAAACAAAUGCAAAGAUAUGUAUAGGUUUACAAAAAUAUCCAGCACCAAACAAGGUAGAAUACAAAAUAUUGAAUAUCCGGGAAAAACAAAAAACAAAAAAACAGGCAUGAAAAGAGGCAGGACAUUAUGACCCAUAUGGAGAGAUGGGAAAAAUCAAUCAAAAUUGACCUGGGGCCGGGCACAGUGGCUCACGCCUGUAAUCCCAGCACUCUGGGAGGCCGAGGAGGGCGAAUCACUUCAGACCAGAAGUUCACAACCAGCCUGGACAACAUGGUGAAACCCCAUCUCUACUAAAAAUAAAAAAACUAGCCAGGCGUGGUGGCAGGCAACCUGUAGCCCCAGUUACUCAGAAGGCUGAGGCAGGAGAAUCACUUGAAUCCGGGAGGUGGAGGUUGUAGUAACUGACCUGGAAAUGACAAAGGUGACAGGGCAAGUAGAGGAGAGCACACACAUGCUUAUGCUGUGACCAUGUUCCAUAUGUUCAAGAUGCUGGAGGUGACAGGGCAAGUAGAGGACAGCACACACAUGCUUAUGCUGUGACCAUGUUCCAUAUGUUCAAGAUGCUGGAGGUGACAGGGCAAGUAGAGGACAGCACACACAUGCUUAUGCUGUGACCAUGUUCCAUAUGUUCAAGAUGCUGGAGGUGACAGGGCAAGUAGAGGACAGCACACACAUGCUUAUGCUGUGACCAUGUUCCAUAUGUUCAAGAUGCUGGAGGAAAGGAAAGACAAUAUGUUAAGUAAAGACGGGGAAAAAAGCCUCAAAUCGUACUUCUGGGGAUGAAAAGUAGUGUCAGAGAAAUAAUACACGAGAUGGGAUUAAUGGAACACUGCAAAAGAAAGGAUCAGUGUGGCUGGGCGCCGUGGCUCACACCUAUAAUCCCAGCACUUUGGGAGACCAAGGCAGGUGGAUCACCUGAGGUCAGGAGUUCAAGACCAGCCUGGCCAACAUGGUGAAACCCCAUCUCUACUAAAAAUAGAAAACUUAGCUGGGUGUGGUGGCGUGUUCCUGUAGUCCCAGCUACUCAGGAGGCUGAGACAGCAGAAUCACUUGAACCCAAGAGGCGAAGGUUGCAGUGAGCCCAGAUCACACCACUGCACUCCAGCCUGGGUGACAGAGCAAGACUCCGUCUCAAAAAAAGGAUCAGUGAACUUGAAAACAUAGCAAUACAAACUGUCCAAAUGAAACGGAGAAAAAUGACUAGAAAAAUGGAAAGAGCAUCAGUGAACUGUGGUUCACCUUCAGGUGGUGAAACAUGGGUAUAAUUGGAGUCCCCAAAGGAGAGGAGACAGAGGUUGGGAAAUAAUAAAGCUGUUUUUAGAUCGAGCAGAGCGAAAGAAUCACCUGCAGGAGUGUCUAAGCUGUCCCUCAAGCAGAAGGAAGGUCAUACCCAAUGGAAAACUGAAUCUACACAAAGAAAUGAGGAACACCAGAAACGGCAACUAAAUGACGAAGGCCAAAGUGACCCCAGGAGCAAGACCGGAGGGUGGGGACGCGUCAGUAAGCUGGUGAGGACACGUCAGUAAGCUGAUGGCCGCCAGGGAAGGAGACGGCAACGGAAGCUCAUGGGGAAGGAGACAGAUGCAGCUUUGCCAUUCAGCCAAGACUGGUGCCAGCGCUGUGGGGCCUCAGAACCCCCUGCUGACCGUCACUUUGCCUCCAGAGGAGGGUCUGUCCUACCACCCUGGUGACCAGGCUCACACCAGGAAUCCCAGCUGAGGGGGAAACUUGGAGUGUAUGUGGCUAUUUUUGCCAAAAGCCACAACACCCAGGUCCAGGAGUGAGGGGAGGGUCCCUCGUGGGUCUCUGUCCCACCCCAGCACCUUGGAGGAUGCUGGAGCGAGGGAAGAGACUGCGGCCUUGGUUCCUGGGGUCCUGCACACAGCACCCACAGGCUGGCCACACCCCUGGGCAGAAGGUCCCUGCUCCUUGCCAGGACGCCCAGCCCUGCCUGGACUGCUGAGUGCCCUGGGGGCUCCCCCGUGGCUUCCUGGCACCCUGCCUCCAUCUCUGUAAACUGUCAUCAAGUUGUCCUCAUCUGGCCCUGCCAUGUCUCAAAUCCGGAGCCAAGACAAUCCGUGGUGGGGAGACGCAGACCAUGGUGGACACUACUGUUUCCUUCUGCUGGCCACCUCCUGGGUCGCACAGGCGUGACCCCAUCCCACCCUCCACCGUGCUGGGGUACGGGAGUCUUCCCUCAUGCAGCCUCAGCUCCCCGCUCUGCAGAACAAGUAAGAAAGCAAGGGACUGGCACGCCGCCUCACCAGGGGUGAUCUCGGAAACCCCUGGGUGGGCAGGGCCGAGCUGGCUCGCCAGCCUGACCCAGGGGCUCAACACACUUCCAGUCCAGGCUUGGGGGUGGUCUGAGUGGGAGCGAGGGGGAAAGAGGCCUCGCUCCAGCUGGGUCCUCAUCAGCCACCGGGGUUUACCCUUGGAGGCUGCCCUGGAAUGUGCCCAGGGCCAAGCCACAGAGCCUCAACCCGAGACUGACCUGUGCAAAGCCGCUUUAAAGGGGGCGUUGGUACCAAGAUAUAAAAGAAAAUAAUAAAAUAUAAAAAUAUAUUGCAAAGGGGGUGAUGGGAGGGCAGCAUGGGCAC
rnacentral:lncRNA from 10 species